UCUCUCUCUCUCUCAAGCCUCCUCUGCUCUCUUUCUUUCUCCUCUCGUUCCCUCUCUUUCUCAAGUCUCCUCUGUUCUUUCCCUUCCUCCUCCCUUUCCCUUUGUUGCCUCUCACGAUCCAAUCUCUCCUGCCUUUCUUUUAAUUCUUUCUGCUGAGCUUCUUGCAUAUCUUUAUCUAGUUGACCAGUUUCUCUACUUCUAGCAGCCUUUAGAU
rnacentral:misc_RNA from 1 species